UACACACAGACAGACGUACUGGCACAUACACACAGACAGACAUUAAAACAUUCACAGAUACAUACCGACACACACAUACACUGACACACAAAUAUAUCCUGGCAGACAUACUGACACACACGUAAACACACACACACACACUGACAUACACACACAGACAUACUGGCAUACACACAGACAUACUGGCAUACACACACAGACAUACUGACACACACACACAGACAUACUGGCAUACACACACAGACGUACUGACACACACACACACACACACACACACACACACACACACACACACACACACACACACACACACACACACACACACACACACACACACACACACACACACACAGACAUACUGGCAUACACACAGACAUACUGGCAUACACACAGACAUACUGACACACACACACACAGACAUACACACACAGACAUACUGGCAUACACACACACACAGACAUACUGGCAUACACACACAGACAUACUGGCAUACACACAGACAUACUGACACACACACACACAGACAUACUGACACACACACACAGACAUACUGACACACACAGACAUACUGACACACACACACAGACAUACUGACACACAGACACAGACAUACUGGCAUACACACACACACACAGACAUACACACACACAGACCUACUGACACACAUUUAGCCACCCUCCAGGUUCUUACCUUUUUCUGGAGGGUGGUUUCCCUGGUCCAGUGGCAGGCUGAGGCAGAUGGGAGUUCUCCUCCUCCCUGCCUUCCUCCUCCCGCGCGGCUAUCUCCGGUGGGAGGAAGUGACGUCACUUCCUCCCAGCCGGCUGCAGAACCGGAAGAGGGGCC